GACGUAGGGCGCGAGCGUUGUCCGGAUUUAUUGGGCGUAAAGAGCUCGUAGGCGGCUUGUCGCGUCGGCUGUGAAAACCCGCGGCUCAACUGUGGGCGGGCAGCUGAUACGGGCAGGCUGGAGUUCGGUAGGGGAGACUGGAAUUCCUGGUGUAGCGGUGGAAUGCGCAGAUAUCAGGAGGAACACCGAUGGCGAAGGCAGGUCUCUGGGCCACUACUGACGCUGAGAAGCGAAAGCAUGGGGAGCGAACAGG
rnacentral:rRNA from 1 species